GAACGCUAGCUACAGGCUUAACACAUGCAAGUCGCGGGGCAGCAUGUAUCUGGCUUGCCAGAUACGAUGGCGACCGGCGCACGGGUGAGUAACGCGUAUCCAACCUGCCCCAUAACCACGGCACAGCCCGUCGAAAGGCGGAUUAAUGCCGUAUGAGGUUCCAGAGUAGCAUUAUUGUGGAACGAAAGGAUUGGCGGUUAUGGAUGGGGAUGCGUCCGAUUAGCUUGUUGGCGGGGUAACGGCCCACCAAACCGACGAUGCGUAGGGGUUCUGAGAGGAAGGUCCCCCACACUGGUACUGAGACACGGACCAGACUCCUACGGGAGGCAGCAGUGAGGAAUAUUGGUCAAUGGGCGAGAGCCUGAACCAGCCAAGUAGCGUGCAGGAUGACGGCCCUAUGGGUUGUAAACUGCUUUUAUAAGGGAAUAAAGUGAGUCUCGUGAGACUUUUUGCAUGUACCUUAUGAAUAAGGACCGGCUAAUUCCGUG
rnacentral:rRNA from 1 species